UGGGGAAUAUUGGACAAUGGGGGGAACCCUGAUCCAGCCAUGCCGCGUGUGUGAAGAAGGCCUUAUGGUUGUAAAGCACUUUAAGCGAGGAGGAGGGUACUGGUAUUAAUACUACCAGGUACUGGACGUUACUCGCAGAAUAAGCACCGGCUAACUCUGUGCCAGCAGCCGCGGUAAUACAGAGGGUGCGAGCGUUAAUCGGAUUUACUGGGCGUAAAGCGUGCGUAGGCGGCUAAUUGAGUCGGAUGUGAAAUCCCCGAGCUUAACUUGGGAAUUGCAUUCGAUACUGGUUAGGUAGAGUGUGGGAGAGGAUGGUAGAAUUCCAGGUGUAGCGGUGAAAUGCGUAGAGAUCUGGAGGAAUACCGAUGGCGAGGGCAGCCAUCUGGCCUAACACUGACGCUGAGGUACGAAAGCAUGGGGAGCAAACAGG
rnacentral:rRNA from 1 species